UAAUACAUCAUUUUGGUGCAGAAACC
rnacentral:piRNA from 1 species